AUGAACGCUGCCGGCGUGCCUAAUACAUGCAAGUCGAGCGAACAGACGAGGAGCUUGCUCCUCUGACGUUAGCGGCGGACGGGUGAGUAACACGUGGAUAACCUACCUAUAAGACUGGGAUAACUUCGGGAAACCGGAGCUAAUACCGGAUAAUAUAUUGAACCGCAUGGUUCAAUAGUGAAAGACGGUUUUGCUGUCACUUAUAGAUGGAUCCGCGCCGCAUUAGCUAGUUGGUAAGGUAACGGCUUACCAAGGCGACGAUGCGUAGCCGACCUGAGAGGGUGAUCGGCCACACUGGAACUGAGACACGGUCCAGACUCCUACGGGAGGCAGCAGUAGGGAAUCUUCCGCAAUGGGCGAAAGCCUGACGGAGCAACGCCGCGUGAGUGAUGAAGGUCUUCGGAUCGUAAAACUCUGUUAUUAGGGAAGAACAAAUGUGUAAGUAACUAUGCACGUCUUGACGGUACCUAAUCAGAAAGCCACGGCUAACUACGUG
rnacentral:rRNA from 1 species